AAGCAAAGAAAAAAGUGCAAGAGAUGCAAUAAUUAACCCAAUUUUUCCUGCAUUCUUUAUUAUUCACAGUGUUUGGUGAAGGUCAAUGUCAAACUUAAACCCAUGUUGGACUCGGUGGUUGCAAACAGAAUAAAAUGGGGAGAAAUGCAUCAAAAAAUACUUGGAUCCUCCCAAGAAAGUGCUUCCCCAAGUUCCACCUUCACAUCACCACCCACUUCCUUCCCUACACCGGCUUCUUCCCCUCAACCAGCUUUAGAGUGUCUCUUGAAGACUUAAAGCUGGAACACCAUUUUUUGCCUUGUGCAAGAGUUACCUUAAAAGGCUGUCAUAGGCUUAGCUGUUCUAUUAAGUUACUGCGGCCAUGCUUUUAUAGAAGGAGAAUGUAUCUCUUGGUCAUAGUUUGGCUUUUGCCUGAAAGCUCAGUGGAUUGAAGAUGAAGACAAGAAGAGGUGGGGUGACAAUUAAGACACGGUGAGGAGUCUGAUUCGGGUUUUGUUGUCCGAGAAGACCAACAGCAUUCACUCAAGCUUUGGAAACUGUUCACUAAUGCUGUGCCAAAUAUAAGUGGAUAUUGUCUUGAUGGUGAUGGACAAUGGACUCAGCUUAAUUCAUAGAGCACAGCACAGUUACUAAAAUGCACAAUAUAAUCAAUUCAUAUAAAUAUGCUGAAAAGAAACCAAUAUUUUAAUUUAGUGUUUGCUUUUCCUAUGUACUUACGUAUACACAAAUGUUGUGCCUGCCUCGUUUGGUGUUUAUUUUUAUGAUAUGCUUGUAUUUGUUUAAUUCCAUUCUUCUGGUGAAUUGACUUGGCAUCACUUUGCAUCUCUGCUUUCAAUAUUAAGUGAAUGGAUAGACUGCGAAAGCAGGUAUUUUCCGAAUUUCCCAAAGACAAAACAAACUAUGC